rnacentral:rRNA from 1 species
CAAUAGCGUAUAUUUAAGUUGUUGCAGUUAAAAAGCUCGUAGUUGGAUUUCGGUUAAGAGCGACCGGUCCGCCGUUUGGUGUGCACUGGUUGGUUUUAACUUCCUGUAGAGGACGUGCUCUGGGUUUAACGACCUGGACUCGGAGUCUACGUGGUUACUUUGAAAAAAUUAGAGUGUUCAAAGCGGGCUUACGCUUGAAUAUUUCAGCAUGGAAUAACACUAUAGGACUCCUGUCCUAUUUCGUUGGUCUCGGGACGGGAGUAAUGAUUAAGAGGAGCAGUUGGGGGCAUUCGUAUUUCAUUGUCAGAGGUGAAAUUCUUGGAUUUAUGAAAGACGAACUUCUGCGAAANCANNNGCCAAGGAUGUUUUCAUNAA